GAACCAAUGAUUGUGGGAGUGAGAGGGAAGAAGACAUUAGGGUUCCCCUCUGCCUCUGCCCAUCUCGGAGUUCAAAGGCACCUUUGCUUUCAACCAGGAAGUAGCUAAGAGCUAUUUGAGAAAGGUUCCAGAACUUUCCUUUUGAUAGCCAAAACCAAUCCUCUGCUAGACUGUAAGCUCAUACCCCGUGUAUCUUGGUUCACUGUGGUUGGUACAUGUCAACAUUAGAACAGGAAUCUGUCACUCAUGAACCUGAGCUGGGGAGGUGAAAGCAAACAGGGCCUCUGCUCCAUGUGUGGGGCACAAGUGCCUGGGAAUGCCAGGGAUUGGUGAGGAGCAGAGAGCCUCAGUCCUGACCCACCUGCCACAUUAGCAGCUGUAGGCUGCUAAGAUCUCUGAUCAUGUGCAUGUGCUCUCUCUCUCUCUCUCUCUCUCUCUCUCUCUCUCUCUCUCUCUCUCUCUCACACACACACACACACACACACACACACACUACAGUUGUGUGGUGGAUGGUGGUGAAUGUGUACAAUCCAAUUCUGAUACAUGUGGAUACGCCAGUUGGCAAAGUCUGAUGCAGGGGAAGGCUGGACUAAGUUGGCAUUUGGUUCAUGGCCGAAUUCUGAUGGCACCAUUUGCUAGCCAUGUGACUUGGUCAGGCAUGGUUUCUCUCAGCUCCAGAGGGGUUAAGGACACCCAUUUUCCAGGGUGACUAUGAGAGCUGCAGGCUGUAAGGACAGAAGAAGAGGGGCCAGCGCUUCCCUGGGGGGAAUCGGUCAGCUUCUAAAGGUAUUGCAUGCUCCUGGAAGAUUUUAGGCCCUCGAUGCAUCAGGAGCUCCCAAUGGAGCCUCCAGGCAUUCUGUAAUCAGCAUAGAUUGGUGCCUUUAAAUAUACAGAGAAGAUUCUCAAACUACAUUACAAAUGUUGAGUUGGGACCCUCCAUAAAGCCUGGAGUCCCAAACCUUGCACAAGAUUAGAAAUCAUUUGGUGCCACCUGCUGGCCAAAGAGGUUUCUGUAUGCUAUGGGCCUUUCAUUUUCUCUAUACUAAUAAAAGUGAGAAAGAGCUAAUAAAAGUGUCCACCCCCAGCAUGUGCAAACGGCAGUUAGGACAUAUUGUUACGACGAAAGCCUUGCUUUUCUACAACCUUGCCUCUGUUUUGAUUAUUUUUAUAUGGGGAGUUGAGGUCUUCAUUCAUAAAAUCACUCAUCCACUCACUCAUCCAUUGACAGAACAGCAGCCACACAGCUUCUGCUGGAGUCAGAGUUUGGGAAGCUCAAGGCUAGCUUUAUGGAUCUUCACACUCCCUGAGCACCAACAGUUUGGUGAGCACACCCAGAGAACCGCUGGAUUCUUCUAGCCAGAGAAGAGGAAUAGACGGAUUGCUGGGACCUCUGUGCUGAAAUGCAGGGGGAGCCGGAACGGCAAAGGAGAUUGAGGAGGGGUGGUGAGCAGUGUGAGGAGAAAUGGGCAAGAAAAUGCCGUGGCUCAACUUUCAAGGCACAGUGCUGCAGAGACAGGAAGGGUGAAGCCUGUGGCGGGUUGAAGAACAGGGCAUAUUUAUCAGCAGUCUUAGCAGGGUGAGGUUUGGAGGGAUGGUGAGGAUGAGAACCUACUUGGAGUGAGGUUUGGAAAAGAGGAUAGAUGGCAGAAAGAGGGGGCAGUGAGUCUGGAAGACUGUCUUUGAUUUCUUUCUCCCUCUGUGGAAGAUUGAGCCCAAGCGUCAUGUAUACUGUGUCACGCCUGUGUAUUACCAGGCACAGUGAACUGUUGUCAGGCACUUUACAGUUGGGCUACAUCCCUCUCCUGUGGAAGAUGGUCUGGAAUUCUCCAGUCAAUGGACCAAGAGAGGAAAUAAUGAGAUGUGAGCAAAAACAUGAGGUUACGAAAGGGCAUUCAAAGAGGAAAUAAGGGGCAGAAAAGAGGGCUCAGUGGUUAAGAGCACUUAGUCCUCUUGCAGAGGACCUAGGUUCGGUUCCCAGCACCCAUCUAGUGGCUUACAACCUCCUAUAACUCCUGUUUGGAAAGAUUUGAAGCCCUCUUCUGGCUUCCUUGGGUUCCUGAAUGCACGUGGUACACACAAACUCAUGCAAACACAUAUACAAAUAAAAAUAUAAAACUACUAAAUAAUGAACAAGAGAGGAAACAAAUUUCACAAUGCCUUUAUGGCCUGCCUGUGACAGGCCCCAGAGGGAGACACACGGUGCUGCUGGGGAGACCAUGAGCUUGGGCAGGGCAGUGUCAGGGUGUAGGACAUACAGGAAUAGGCGCCUGCUUGCUGCCAGUAGACCUUUGUUAGAUGAUGAUACACAGUAAGAAGGGAUAAGGGGGCUGAGUCUGGAUCCUGGUCCCCAAGGUGACAUGGUUGAUUAGUAGUGUACCCAAAGUACUCUACUUCAUGGGAAGUGGGUAUAUAGCAGGCUGUGGGCUCCAGGGGGCAGGAACCCCAGUCCAUCUGGCUCCUUUGUGUCCCAGGUACCUAGAACCACACUGACACAUGGUUGAUGCUCAACAGACCUAUGUCACACGAGGAAAUGCCUGAUCCAGACAGGGGCUGGGGUGGCGCUUUGUGGCAAGAAAACAAAUGGACCUUUCUAAAAAGAAGACAAAUAAACCGCUAGCAGGAACCUGGAAAGGUAUCCGGCAUUACUAACCACUGGGGACAUGAGAGUCCAUGCCACAAUGACCAGCUGUGCACCAUGACACACGCCUGCAAUCUCAGCACUUGCAUAGUAGAGGUAAGACAGUCAGAAGUUAAACGUCAUUCUCAGCUAUAUGAUGAGUUCAAGACCAGCCUGGGUUACAUAAGACCCUGUCUCAAACAAAACAAAUUGCAAGGGCCUGUCCUGUGGCACCAAUUGUGGUGGCUCUUGUCAAAGUGUCAAAAGAUAAUCAUCCCUAUGGAGAGAAAUUAGAAGCCUCCUGUGCCAUUGCUGGGAAUGUGAAAUGGCAUAGCUACUGUGUAAAACAGUCUGGAGUUCUUCAAAGAAAAUUAAAAAUAGAAUUACCAUAUGAUCCAGCAAUCUCAUUUCUGGGAAUGUAUCCAAGAGUAUUAAAAUCAGGAUCUUGAAGAAGAUAUUUACACUCCUGUGUUCACUGCAGUAAGAGCCAUAGUUAGCCAAGAUGUAGGAAAUCCAGGCACCCUAUUAUACACCUGUCACCCAGCACUUGAGAAGUAGCAGCUGAGGGUCGCAAGUUCAAGGUCACCCUCCAAUAUGUAGCUAGUUUGAAACUAGCCUGAGCUAACAUAAGACCUUGUCUCAAAAACAAACAAAAGCCCCAAACCCCUUCUAAACAUUUGUCAGUGGGUUAAGUGGACAAAUGUGGUGCUUGUGUACACACACAAUGGAAUAGUAUUUUGCUUUAAAAGUAGGGAAAUCCUGCCACUUAGGGCAACACAAACCUACAUUGUCCUCUUGUGAGUUUCACACCAUCUCUAGACUGCUCAGAACACCUCACGCGAGGUCAAGGCUGUGUAAACAGUCAUCACAGCACACUGUCUAGGGAAUACCAACAGGGAAAAUGUCUCCGUGUUCAGUUCAGGCCCAACACUUCCCUCCGAUAUCGAUGAUCCUCAGCAGGUUGAAUCCACAGGCACAGAAGAGCCUGUGGGAAUAGGCAGCUGGCUCCAGCUGUUUCCUAUACUUGCCCUCUCCCUGCCCUUUCUCUCUCACUUCAUUCCCAGUAGAGCAUUGAGAUGGGAAGCUGAAGGAACCAGGCGGGACUUUGCUACCUCCUAUCAUUGUGACACCUGUUGUGUCUCCCAGAGAAGGGAGGCAAUGCUGUGGAUGGACCCCAGGGCCUGGUGCAUGGGGAGCAGCUGGUCUACCAUUCACUCACAUUCUUGGCCCUUUUUUGAUACAGUCUCAUGUAGCCCGGGAUAGCCUUAUACUAGCUAUAUGGUUGAGAAGGACUUUGAACUCUUCUUUUAAAAAAAUAAUUAUUUUAUUUUUAUGUGCAUUGGUGUUUUGCCUGCAUGUAUGUCUGAGUGAGGGUAUUAGAUCUUGCAGUUACAGACAGUUGUGAACUGCCAUGUGGAUGCUCGGAAUUGAACCCGGGUCUUUGAAAGAGCAGUCAGUGCUCUUAACUGCUGAGCCAUCUCUCCAGUCCGGACUUUGAACUUUUAAUCUCCCUGCCUGCACGUUCAGAACACUGGGAUUAUGGAUUUGUAUCACCACAACCAAUUUAUAGCCCUUGUUUUUAUUUUAUUUUAAAAUUUUAAUUAUGUGUGCAUGUGUAUGCGUGUGUGACUGUGCACAUGAGUUCAGGUGCCUGUAAGGGUCAGAGGAAGAGGUGUCAGAGCUCCUGGUGCUGAAGUCAGAUGCAGUUGUGGGUGUUGAGAAAAGCAGGAAAUAACCUUAACCAACGAGCCACCUCCCCAACGUCAUUCCUGCUAUUUUGGAGUAAGAGUCUUGAUAGGUAGCCCAAGUUGGCCUUGAAUUCACAAUUAUCCUGCCUCAACUCCAUUUUCCACUCCAGUACUUGAUGAUAGGUAUGUACUGCCAUGCCUGGCCCAGUGACUCUCUUUCCAUCUUUCCAUCCGUCUAUCCAUCCAUCCAUCCAUCCAUCCAUCUACCAAUUCAUUUUUGAGACUAUGUAGCAUUGGCUGGCUUUGAACUUAAAAUUUUCCUGUCUCAGCCCCUCUUGCCAUCUGUACUUGGAUUACAGGCAUGGUGGUUCACUUUUUAAUUAAUUAAUUGAAAAUUGAGGCUCAUCAUGUAGCCCUGGAUAGCCUAGAAUUCACUAUGUAGAGCAGGCUGGCCUCAUACAGAGAUCUGCCUGUCUCUGCCUCCUGAGCACUGGGAUUAAAGGCGUGAGUCCCCAUGGCUCUGCUGGCUCUCUUUAAGGCCACCCUGACUAUGUUUUGUUUUGUUUUGUUUUUCUGCAGAGGACUAGCUUGCUGUGGGAUGUUCUGUAUGGCAAAUGUGUUGCUGAUUAGUCAUUAAAUAAAACACUGAUUGGCCAUUGGCUAGGCAGGAAGUGUAGGCAGGACAAGGAGGAGAAUAAAGCUGGGAAGUGGAAGGCUGAGUCAGAGAGACGCUGCCAGCCACCACGAUGAGAAACAGAAUGUGAAGAUACCGGUAAGCCACGAGCCAUGUGGCAAGGUAUAGAUUAAUGGAAAUGGAUUAAUUUAAGCUGUAAGAACAGUUAGCAAGAAGCCUGCCAUGGCCAUACAGUUUGAAACCAAUACAAGUCUCUGUGUUUACUUGGUUGGGUCUGAGGGGCUGUGGGACUGGCAGGUGAUAGAGAUUUGUCCUGACUGUGGGCCAGGCAGGAAAACUUAAGCUACAAAUGGCGUCCAACGUGGUGGCAAGAGUUUCCACCUAAAAACUGAGAAAAAGGAUUCUAAAACGGAGCUAAAAACAGUUCCUAAUUGUCUCUCUCAAAUGAGUGGCAGCUGCUGGUUUGAGCUACUGGUGGGUUCCUUGCAUGCGAGCUCAACCUGCCAUAUGGCGGGAGUGGGGCCUUUGCAAGUGGCACUUUGAGCUGCGUGGUGGAUUUAGCCUUUGCUGGUGCAGAGCAAAAGGGGAGGUUUCUGGACUACACGCUGUUUGGAUAAAAGCAUAGACCCACAUAGCUCCCAGAGCUGGUGGUAAACGUAGCCAUGUUGGGAAGCUGAGGUGGGCGGAGCCAGCAGCCACAGCUGCUGCAGUUUAAGGCAAUAGAUUCACAAUAAGACAGAUUCAGAUGUAAUAGUUUAAAGUGUGUGUAAAAUAUAUAUAGGCUUGAAAGAGACAAAAAAUGUGAUAUAUAAAGUUAUAUAAACAAAUACAUAGUUUUAAAAAUAAAGUCUUUAAAGAGACAGUAAUAUUAAUAUAAAAAAUAAGCCACGUAAAGAUGAGUAUUACACAGAGAAUCUGGAUUGUGUUGUCUUUGGGACUUUUAACUGCAGAAAAACAUUUGAUUGUAAAAGCUGUUGAGUUAUGUCAAAAUGUAUACUUUAAAGGUACCUUGACUUCAAAAUUUGGAUGUAAGGAUAUGUUGCUUUGGAAAAGAGUCUCUUUUGUUUCCACAGAAAACAAGAGGCUAUGGAUUUGUUCCAGAGUAAGAUACAUCAGGUUUGACCAGCCAAGACCCCCUGAAAGGUCUCCGAUGACACCAUGGCCCAGAUGAUCCAACAUCCAGAAUGGUUUGAAGGCAACUGGCUCAGACGAUACACCCUCAUGGACUAUUCCAUAAUCCUAAAAUUUUCUUUGUUUCCCCAUAAGAUACAGCGUCCCCCUCCAGCAGGAAGUAGUAAGAGAAGCUACGCCCAAAUUCCCAAAUUAUAUGUAAUUUUACUUUGUUAAGGUUAAAACCUUCCUUUUUGAAAAAAAAAAAAAAAGGGAAGUGCUGUGGGAUGUUCUGUAUGGCAAAUGUGUUGCUGAUUAGUCAUUAAAUAAAACACUGAUUGGCCAUUGGCUAGGCAGGAAGUGUAGGCGGGACAAGGAGGAGAAUAAAGCUGGGAAGUGGAAGGCUGAGUCAGAGAGACGCUGCCAGCCACCACGAUGAGAAACAGAAUGUGAAGAUACCGGUAAGCCACGAGCCAUGUGGCAAGGUAUAGAUUAAUGGAAAUGGAUUAAUUUAAGCUGUAAGAACAGUUAGCAAGAAGCCUGCCACGGCCAUACAGUUUGUAACCAGUAUAAGUCUCUGUGUUUACUUGGUCGGGUCUGAGCGACUGUGGGACUGGCAGGUGAUAGAGAUUUGUCCUGACUGUGGGCCAGGCAGGAAAACUCUAGCUACACUAGCUGAUCAAGGCUUUAGGGUUUGCAGACCUCUUGGCCUCUGUUGCAACUAUUCAGAUCUGUUCAGAGCCCUCUUGUGCAAAAGUAGCCAUGGCAACUUAUAAACAUACAGGCAUGGCUAUAUCCCAACAAAACAUUAUUUAUACAAAGACAGUGGGCUAGAUUUGGCCUAUAGGCUAUAGUUGGCCAAUCCUGUUAAAUUGAAUUAUCUGGCCUAGUUCCAGCAUUUCUCUCUCUCUCUUCCUCUGCUCCCCACCCCCACCCCCGGAUAUGUUAUCUCACAUAACCCAGGCUGGCCUCAAACUCACUAUGUAGCCAAAGAUGAUCUAGAACUUCUGAUCCUCUUGUCUUUGCCGCCUAGUGCUAGCAUUCCAGUGUGCACCAUCCCGUCUGGUUUAUGGAAUCUGCAGACUGAACCCAGGGCUUUGGGUCCAAUUUAGCUACAUCCCCAGUCCCGCUCCGACAUCUUAGAUAGAGCUAAUCAAGAUUCACAAACCAGGGCUGGAGAGGUAGCUCAGAGGUUAAGAGCACUGACUGCUCUUCUAGAGGUUCUGAGUUUAAUUCCCAGCAACCACAUGAUGGCUCACAACCAUCUAUAAUGGGAUCUGAUGCCCUCUUCUGGUGUGCAGGCACAUAUGCAGAUAGAACACUGCAUGUACAAAAAAAUAUAUAUAUAUUUUUUAAAAAGAUCCACAAAUCAGCUGGGCUCUAAUUCUCUCUUAGCACCCCCCAAAAAACUGCUCCCUGGGCUUCACUUGCUGUCUUUCAAUAGAGCUGACAAUCCACCUUUCCUCCCCACAGAAGCAGUUCAAUACGAGUUGAAAAUCUGCAUUUCCUCCCCACAGAAGCACUUUCUCCCUUGAGCUCUGAGUCAUCUCUCAUGCUUUUCCCUCAGGGCUCAGGUUUGGGUCUUUGGUUUCUCAUUUGCAUGUGUUCAGGCACUUUCACUCCAGCACCUUCUAUGUGCUGAGCACUCCCCAGUGCACACUUCUGGUGUGGAGCCUUUCUCUUAAGCCCCCCUUGUAGCUACAGCUUCAUAGUCUCCUUUGGUGGCUAGCAGAUGUUCUGAAAUGGACACAUAGGAAGCCAGACUCCGGGUCCCUCCAGCUUCCUCCUUUUCCUUCCCUGUGACUGAGGGUCCAUCUUCCUCAUGCUCCCUGGCUAUGGGAGCUGUCCAUUGUGGUGAUAUAUUGUGUACCCUAAUAAACUUGCCUGAGGAUCAGAGGACAGAGCCAGGCACUAGAUUAGACAUAGAGGUCAGGCAGUGGUGGCACACACCUUUAAUCCUAUUACUCGGGAGGCAGAGAUCCAGAGUUCAAAGCCACAGUGGGCUAUAUGAGAUUGAUCCAGUAUAGGAGAGAAAAAGUCAGGCAGUGGUGGCACACACUUUUAAUCUCAGCACUUGAGAUCUCAUGCCGUUGCUUAGGAAGCAUACAUGCCUUUAAUCCCAGGAAGUAAUAUGACAGGGCAGAGAAAGGUAUAUAAGGCGUGAGGAAACAGGAACUCACUCACUCUCUUUAGGCUGAGGAUUUUGUAGAUGUAAGAACUAGUGGCUGGCUGUUCUGCUUCUCUGAUCUUUCAGCUUUCACCCUGA